GUGCGAGACACUUGAGACGUGGACACGCGUUGGACGUAGGUUCAGGAAGACGGCGGACCGGAGACGGUUUGGACGCGAGCGACACGUUUGUCUCCAAACAGCUGCUCAACAGUCUUCUGCUCGCCGAGCAGUCGGUUCAGAUGGAGUCCGUCUCGCUCACGUCUGACCUCAAGCUCUUACUGGAGGAUCUGCAUCAGAAGAAGACCAGCAUCUACAGAUCCAUCCCAUACUCCCGCCUGGC
rnacentral:lncRNA from 1 species